rnacentral:rRNA from 1 species
UACGUAGGUGGCAAGCGUUGUCCGGAUUUACUGGGCGUAAAGAGCGCGCAGGCGGUCGUAUAAGUCGCGUGUGAAAGCCCCCGGCUCAACUGGGGAGGGUCACGCGAUACUGUUCGACUCGAAGGCAGGAGAGGGAAGUGGAAUUCCCGGUGUAAUGGUGAAAUGCGUAGAUAUCGGGAGGAACACCAGUGGCGAAGGCGACUUCCUGGCCUGUUCUUGACGCUGAGGCGCGAAAGCUAGGGUAGCAAACGGG